rnacentral:rRNA from 1 species
UUCCUACGGGGGGCAGCAGUAGGGAAUCUUCCACAAUGGACGAAAGUCUGAUGGAGCAACGCCGCGUGAGUGAAGAAGGGUUUCGGCUCGUAAAGCUCUGUUGGUAGUGAAGAAAGAUAGAGGUAGUAACUGGCCUUUAUUUGACGGUAAUUACUUAGAAAGUCACGGCUAACUACGUGCCAGCAGCCGCGGUAAUACGUAAGUGGCAAGCAUUGUCCGGCUUUAUUGGGCGUAAAGCGAGU